UUGCGGAGCACAGGCUCCAGACGUGCAGGCUUAGCGGCCAUGGCUCACAGGCCCAGCCGCUCCGCGGCAUGUGGGAUCCUCCCGGACCGGGGCACGAACCCGUGUCCCCUGCAUCGGCAGGCGGACUCUCAACCACUGCGCCACCAGGGAAGCCCUUAAGAUGUAAGUUUUUAAUGGCAUUUGCUUUUAAUGGAGACCACUUCCAUCAAAAGUAAAGAUCUGAUUGGGGUUUUAGACUUCUGCAUCAGUCUUUAUAAGGUUAGGGGGGCAAUGUUUUUGUAGUAUCUUUAUUCAAACUCGCAGAUUUUCAGAGAGUUUAUUUAACAUAGGGCAAAUUUGAGCAAUUUUGAAGCCACUAAAUCACUACUUGUACUUCCAUAGGGUUAAAAAAAGUAUUUUGGAGGUCUUCAUAUAUCGCUAAAGUUUUCUAUUAACUUUCAAGAAAGUUUACCCGUGAUGGUUUCAAAACACAUUUCAAAUAACAUACAUCCCAACGUGACUUUCACAUUCGACCAUCUUCCAAUCUCUGUUUACAAAUCACUUACGAGCUAUUUCUGCAUUAAAGAAAUAUUCGUCUUAACAGAACAGACUACUUGGCUGAUGUGCCAGUACCAGUAUAGGAAAAUCUGUGUUUUGUUUGUUUGUUUUGUUUGUUUUUUCAGGAACCCAUUUAUUAGGUGUGUGCUUCUAAUUCAUUUUUUGUCCCAUUGAAGAGUGGAGGAAAUUGAAGGUUUGUUCUCAAAUCUGCUUUGGUUCUGAAUCUUGGGCAAUCUUAAUAUAUAUUCAGGGGUGUACGUGAGGUUCUGAGUAGGGAGCAGGUCAUCUUCUUUUAAGCCUGUAAACAUGAGUAGAAGGGGGGAGUGACGGGGAGUGAUGGUUGUGGUGAUCAAGAGUGACCUUUCCUUCUUAGAAAACAUCAGAUUACUUAGAGGCAUCAGACUUUGCAUGGUUCAACCUACAGCUUAAAAUGAAAUACAGAUCUCCACCAAUGUAGACAUUUUUUUUCUUUUUUUAACUCUUCCCUCCCCACUUCUUUUUUUUUUUUUGACAGAGCAUCUCUGUUGUCCACAUGAAAGGAAAAAAGAAAUCGAAGAUGCUAUUUAUUUUACAGAUUAAGAAAUCUUCCUGAAUAGUCAUAAGAGAGCUCUUCUUCUGGCACAAUGUCUUUGGCUGCAAAGAGUGCCAACUUUGGUACCAUCGAGUUGAUUCGGACAGGAAUCAUCAAUAAGUUUGGCUCACAAGAAUGGUUAAGGAAUCUUCCAAUAUUUCCUAUAGAGGUAGGAUCAAUGAACGUUUCCAUUACCUGCCCAUUAUAAACAUGCUCCCUGACGGCUAUAAUGUAAUUCGAAUCGUGUAUUGUUUGUAACUGAAUUCUUCUCUGUACUUCUGGGAAUCCUAAAACCUCGCCAGCAUAUUCACAGACAAACCGUCCUUUUGGUAUAAAGUCCAAGGUACGAAGUCCCCAGCCUUUGCGAUCUGUCUUGAACACCUGGAGGUGGAACUGCAGACCCCGCUGGACCACUCUGUUCCUGCAGUGGUCGCUGCACUGACACAGGACAUUGCAUUCGAAAACUGGCUCAGCGCACUUUGCUUCUGAUCCUAUGUGUCUGAGGCAUAAAUUAUCAUCAUAGUUCUUCUCACGACGGAGACAGGAGCAAGUUCCAGGGAGGCAGGGAGUUUUGAGACAAACACAUCCGGGAAAGGUUAUCAGAGUGGGAUCAGUGUCUCCUCCAGGCCCGGCUACAUGAUCAGGAGUAUACUGCAAAAAACAGAAAUACUGUUAAGUCAGCACGGCAGGUCAUAUAUCUCAUCUGUAUUUCAAGCAGCUUUUGGCUGAGACAGUUUCUAAUUCCAACAAACAGAAUGAAACAAAAAUGACAAAAUGCAAUAUAUUACAAUAUUGCCUGAAAACAUCUCUCUCCAAUUUAAAAACCAGGGUUAAUUUUUAGAUUUAAAAUUUGGUGGUUUCCUUUUAAGCAGUGGAAAAAUUUAUGUAUUUUUCUCUUAUCAGAUAUUGAAAAAUUUGUAAUCCAUUUUGUUUCCCUGUUAGCUUUAGGUGUCAGGAAAAUCAGUGCCGAAUUUAGGUUUUGAAUGCAGUUAUGUGUUUUCUCCUUGGCUUUUAUCUUUCACAUUUAUCUGAUAAUACAAAUGCAUAUAUGUAUUUUUAUUGUGAGUUACCUCAGAUCCUUUUUGGGGAUAAGAAAGUCAUAAAUGAUAAAUCAAUGAAAAAUGGCCUUUGGGAGAGAGUCUUCCAUUGAUUUUUUAAAAGAAUUUUUAAAUUUGAAGAUUAUCUGAAUUCUUAUAUAUUCUCUCAUGUUUUUAAAAAAUGCUAUUACCUUAUAGUUCUAUUUGAGUCUUCACAAAGUUAAAAGCAGAAAUUUGGCAAAAAACUUGCAGAGAUAAUUCCAAAAAUUGUCACAUAAUAUUAAUAGAUAUUGAAAUUUAUUGUAGAUAUAUUAUGUACAUGUAAAGAAAUCCUGUUCUUAUUAAGUGUGAAAGGGAGAAUACAAAAAACUUUCUGUCUUUUACAUGUACCUGUAUUUUCAAAAUGUUACAUUUAUAAAAUGUUAUGAUAAAGAAGUCUUAAGUCUAAAGUGUCUCUGUGAAACCUGACCUCUGGUUAUUUCCUCACUGGCAGAAUGAAGCAUAUUCUCAAACCCUGAAGAUUACAGUAUCUCUCAUGAGCCCAGCAUAUUUCUUCAUGUAUAGAACAAUUCAUUUAUUUAUACUUGUUUUGUUCCAGAAAGGAUUUAAUGAAGCUUACAAAGAGGGAAGAUAAAUGAACAAUAGGUAAGGAAAGUAAGGUGAAGGGAAAAAUAAGUCGAGAGAGCUUAGACACACUAAGUGUGCAGCAGAAGUAGACUGGACAUUUGGCUCUGCCCAAGAACAGCCACUGCAAAGAGGGAAAUAUGAUUAGAUGUAUGGCUUGUACUGUCUGUAAGGAAUAAUCUCACUGUUCAGAAGCAUUGACUGUUUCUAGUAGGGAAAUGGGAGAGAAAUUUGACAAAUGAGUCUGUCUAAACCAUUCUUUUCCAGGACGCAGUUUCAUGGGCUGUUUUUCAUUUCAUUCAUUCCGACCCUCAAUAAAGGCUGUUGGCAUCCUGCCACAUGAAGUCAGUAAGAGCAGUUCUGCAAGAGACCAGUCGACAGAAUUUAGCAUAUCCAGAGGAACGUCAAUUAUUAGCCUUUCAGUCAAUUAUCCAUUAACAUUGUGUCAAUACUUUUAGAAGAAGUAUUGAGCAGCAUGUAGUUAUACUCCCUGUGGAGGCCUUGGUGGAGCUAUGCAGUUAGGUGCAAAAUCCUAUACUUUAAAAAACCCUGAGCUAGCGAGGAAGGAUUGACAUCCUUCUGUGAAAGGGUGGUGAGUGGGCGUACCUGUGGGGGAGGGGGAGAAGGCCAAUGCUGCUUAAAAAGUGAUUUGGGGGUGGAGAGUGGAAAUAGCUUCUCCUGUUUGUGUCGGUUCUUACAACUUUAGCUUAGCAGAGAUGUCAUAAAAGGAUGAAGGAUGGCUUAGAAAAAGAUGCCCCAUCAGUCAAAU